AUUGAACGCUGGCGGCAGGCCUAACACAUGCAAGUCGAACGAGCGGCGGACGGGUGAGUAAUGUAUGGGAAACUGCCUGAUGGAGGGGGAUAACUAAUGGAAACGGUAGCUAAUACCGCAUACCAUCAGAUGUGCCCAGAUGGGAGUAGCUAGGUAGUGGGGUAACGGCUCCCCAAGGCGACGCUCCCUAGCUGGUCUGAGAGGAUGACCAGCCACACUGGAACUGAGACACGGUCCAGACUCCUACGGGAGGCAGCAGUGGGGAAUAUUACACAAUGGGCGCAAGCCUGAUGCAGCCAUGUCGCGUGUAUGAAGAAAGCCUUCGGGUUGUAAAGUACUUUCAGCGGGGAGGCGUUACCCGCAGAAGAAGCACCGGCUAACUCCGUGCCAGCAGCCGCGGUAAUUC
rnacentral:rRNA from 1 species